AGUGAACGCUGGCGGUAGGCCUAACACAUGCAAGUCGAACGGCAGCACAGUAAGAGCUUGCUCUUACGGGUGGCGAGUGGCGGACGGGUGAGGAAUACAUCGGAAUCUACUUUUUCGUGGGGGAUAACGUAGGGAAACUUACGCUAAUACCGCAUACGACCUACGGGUGAAAGCAGGGGAUCUUCGGACCUUGCGCGAUUGAAUGAGCCGAUGUCGGAUUAGCUAGUUGGCGGGGUAAAGGCCCACCAAGGCGACGAUCCGUAGCUGGUCUGAGAGGAUGAUCAGCCACACUGGAACUGGGACACGGUCCAGACUCCUACGAGAGGCAGCAGUGGGGAAUGUUGGACAAUGGGCGCAAGCCUGAUCCAGCCAUACCGCGUGGGUGAAGAAGGCCUUCGGGUUGUAAAGCCCUUUUGUUGGGAAAGAAAAGCAGCAGGUUAAUACCCCGCUGUUCUGACGGUACCCAAAGAAUAAGCACCGGCUAACUUCGUG
rnacentral:rRNA from 1 species